rnacentral:tRNA from 14 species
GGGAUGAUCGGGCCUGGUGAUCCGGGCGUCCUCAAAACCGUGAGGGCCUUGCAC